rnacentral:lncRNA from 1 species
UAAAUUGUUUUACCAAAGGUGCGAAACGAAAAGUUUUGUUCCCACUCUCUCACAAAAAUACACAAAAGAUCUAAACUGAGCAAAAAUCCCAAAUUGCAACCGUUUCUUCUCUGUCGCUCAAAUCCCAAAUAUCAGCUGUUUGUCACUCAAAUCCCAAACUUCAGCCACCAGAUUCCGAUCUUCUCUAUUUAUACCACUCUGUUUUACUACUAAUUUUGUUCUUCUGUUGUUCAGAUCUUGGCCUAUAAGUCGUAGCAUCUAAAAUUAAAUUCUUGUUUAUCACCCCAUAAACUUCAGAAAGG